GACGAACGCUGGCGGCGUGCUUAACACAUGCAAGUCGAACGGAAAGGCCUUUUCGGAGGUACUCGAGUGGCGAACGGGUGAGUAACACGUGGGUGAUCUGCCCUGCACUCUGGGAUAAGCCUGGGAAACUGGGUCUAAUACCGGAUAGGACCGCACUUUAGUGUGUGUGGUGGAAAGUUGUUUCGGUGUAGGAUGAGCCCGCGGCCUAUCAGCUUGUUGGUGGGGUAAUGGCCUACCAAGGCGGCGACGGGUAGCCGGACUGAGAGGUUGGUCGGCCACAUUGGGACUGAGAUACGGCCCAGACUCCUACGGGAGGCAGCAGUGGGGAAUAUUGCACAAUGGGCGCAAGCCUGAUGCAGCGACGCCGCGUGGGGGAUGACGGCCUUCGGGUUGUAAACUCCGUUCGCCAGGGACGAAGCGUUUUGUGACGGUACCUGGAGAAGAAGCACCGGCUAACUACGUG
rnacentral:rRNA from 1 species